rnacentral:lncRNA from 1 species
CUCUGGGAAUUGGAAAAGUCCCCUGGAAUGAACACAGCCCUGCAGACUGCUUGGAUUCGACAUACUGGGUCUCACUGGCGAGACGACAGAUGUAAGGCCAGCAUCACCUUACCUGAUAUGCCCACUGAGAAAAGAAUCUUAAACCAGACUAGGAUAGAGGGGGUCUCAGCAAGACAGAGGCUCAGACAACCUUACUCCAAACAAUCAGACUUUUUAUACCUUUAUCAGAAAUAUAGCGGUAGUUGCCAGGAUCAAUAUGACGGUAGUUUCCAGGAUACAGUGAUGUUUGUAAGCGAUACAGGAUUGUGAUGGCUAUUCCCAGUUGUCAGCUUGACUAUAUCCGGAAUGAAUUAUAAUCCGGAAAUGGUGGACACACCUGUGAUCCAGAUCUUGAGGCUGGAAGACACAGGCUUUUGAUCUGGAUUUUUAAAAAAACAUUUUAUUAUGUCUGUUACUAGCAUUGGUGUUGUGCCUGCAUGUAUGUCUGUGUGAGAGUGUCAGAUCUUGGACAGUUGUGAGUUGCCAUGUCGGUGCUGAGAAUUGGACUCUGGUCCUCUGAAAGAGCAGUCACUUCUCUUAGCCCCUGAGCCAUCUCUUCAGCACCUGAUCUGGAUAUUGAGGCACAGUGGCCAUGAAAAGCUUAGGCCCAAGCAAGGUGGUACACACCUUUAAUCCCAGCAGACAGGGAGGGGCAAGCAGAUUUCUGGGUUCCAGGUCAGCCAGAGACAGAGCAAGUUCCAAGUAAAGAACAGUUAGGUCCAGGUGAGGAGGUCACACCUUUAAUCUGGGCCACACCUUCAGCUGGAUGCCCACUUAAGACAAUGGAAGAAGGAAGACUUCUUUCUUCUUCGCCUGCUUGCAUUUACUUUCCAGCACAUCUGUUGGAUCCUACUUCUUCAGGAUUCCAGCUUAUAAAGAAAGCCAGGCGAAACACCCAGCCUCGUGGACUGAGCAGAGGCUAGAUUGUCGGACUUGCCAUUCACAGCCCAUUGCUAGGUUAGUUGAACUGUAAGUCAUUCCAAGAAUAUAUAGAGACAUUCCAUAAAUUCUGUGGCUCUAGAGAAUCCUGACUAAGACAAGGACACACAAGAUUAAUGUCUAAGGCCACUUGUCCUAUCAACCUUCCCUGUUCGGUUGACUUCCGGGGAACACAGAGAAUCAAAACAUGUUGUGAAUGUUUCACGGCCUGAGGGAGUGCCUCUGUUUCUCAGGAACUGAAAGGCACACAGUGACCCAUGAGCCAUGGAUUCUAACCUAAAAAACCAGGGCAACUCCAUGAUUGCCUGCAGACAGACUCAUGCUGUAGGCCAGUACACAGGAAUUCCUUAUGUCAGUGUGUAAGUGAAGCAGUGUUGUUCAUGUCUGGGGUUCAGAAGGACUUGGUGAAUUACUAACUCUCUCCUGCUUAAUUACUCUGGUGGUUUGAAUGGGCUUGACUCCCAUAGACUCAUGUGUUUGAAUGUGUGGCCUACAGGGAGUGGCACUAUUUGGAGGUGUGACCUUAUUGGAGGAAGUAAACCACUGUGGGGACAGACUUUGAGGUUUCCUAUGGUCCAGUUCUGCCCACUGUGGAAACCCAGUCUCUCCCUGGCUUCCUGCAGAAUUCAAUCCCCUUCUGCUGCCUUGGGAUCAAAAUGUAGAACCCCCCAGCUCCUUCUCCAGCACCUUGUCUGCCUGGAUGCUGCCAUCCUUCCCACCAUGAUGAUAAAAGACUGAACCUCUGAAACUAUAAGCCAGCCUCAAGUACAUGUCCUCCUUUGUAAGAGUUGCCUUGGAUAUGGUGUCUCUUCACAGCAAUGAAACUUGGUUCCGGGGACUGGGGUGUUGCUGUGACAGGCCUGACCAUGCUUUUGUUUGGAGGAGUGUGGGCUUUGAGACUUUGGAUUAGGAAAGCAAUGGAUUGCUUUAAGUGGAGUUUAAUGGUCCAUGCUAAUAGAAGCACGGAAGAACUUGGUGCUGAGGGUGAUUGCACUGUGGGGCCCUGGCUCUAGAGGUUUCAGAGGAGAAGAAUCUAGUAUGUUGCCUAGAGAUCAUUCUUGAGAUAUUUUGAUAAGAAUGUGGCUGCUUUUUACCCUUGUACGAAGUAUCUGCCUAAGGCUAAAGCGAAGAGAUUUAGAUUAAUCAAAUUGACAACAAAAUCUCAAAAUAGCCUAGCAUAGGCUCUGCCCUGUGGGUCACUCGUAUAAAGAGCAUUUUGAUCUAACGUAAGCUG